rnacentral:rRNA from 1 species
GUGAACGCUGGCGGUGUGUCUAAGACAUGCAAGUCGAGUGCCCGCAAGGGCACGGCGAACGGCUGCGUAACACGUCGGAACCUACCCCGGAUUCAGGGAUAACCCGGAGAAAUUCGGGCUAAUACCGGAUGGUCUCGUAAGAGUAAAGAUUUAUCGGUCCGGGAGGGGCCUGCGGCCUAUCAGCUUGUUGGUGAGGUAAUGGCUCACCAAGGCAAUGACGGGUAGCUGGACUGAGAGAUCGACCAGCCAGAAUGGAACUGAGACACGGUCCAUACUCCUACGGGAGGCAGCAGUUAUGAAUCUUCCGCAAUGGGGGAAACCCUGACGGAGCGACACCGCGUGGAGGACGAAACCCUUUUUGGGCGUAAACUCCUGUUCUGAGGGAAGAAAUUUUGACGGUACCUCAGGAGAAAGCACCGGCUAAUUCCGU